ensembl:lncRNA
AAGAGGAAAAGAAAAAUGAGCAUAUAAAACAACGUCCAGUAGUAUACACAGAGCAAGAGUUAAAUACAUGUUAUAAUGACAUAAUAAAUGAUAGAGAACAUUGUAUUGCUUUACUAAAAGAAAAAAUAUGUGUAAAUAAUCAAAUAUCACAUAUGAUAAAAAAUUAUUAUGAUAAAUUAAAAAAACAGUAUGACCAAUUAUAUACAGAAAUGGAAAUUAAUGGAGAAUCACCUCUUAACUUAUACAACACAAAUCGAAAUAAAUAUCCAUAUUCAGAAUAUGAUGAUUAUUAUUAUAAUAAUAGUAAUAACAUUGAAAAUGACUAUGUUAACAAUAACAACAUUAAUAAUAAUUAUAAUUAUAAUAAUAUAAAAAAUAAAAAUGAACACUUACGUAGAACUAAUAGUAAUGUUAGUUACUCAAAUACAAAUUAUACAUACGAUAUAUACGAUUUUGAUAAAUUUAAAGAUGAAUAUGAUGAUGACGAUAGUUAUGUAGUUAAUAAAACACAUAGCAGAAAACACUCCAUUAAACAUGAUGAAGAAUAUAAUCCUUAUAGUGUAGAAAGAAGUAAAAAAAAUAAAAAAAUAAAAAAAAGUAAAAUAUCGAGUCAUGCUAAUAAUAACACAAGUAAAUAUUUAAAAAUGAUAAAUGAAAAAUGUAAUAUUAGUAACAACAAUACUAUUACUAAUAAAGAUGCUAAUAUAGAUAAUAAUAAAUGCGUUAGUAAUAUUAAUAAUAAAGACAUUAAUACCACAUCUAAUCAAAAUGAAANNNNNNNNNNAAAUGAGAUAUAUAUAGGAGAAGAGGAAAAGAAAAAUGAGCAUAUAAAACAACGUCCAGUAGUAUACACAGAGCAAGAGUUAAAUACAUGUUAUAAUGACAUAAUAAAUGAUAGAGAACAUUGUAUUGCUUUACUAAAAGAAAAAAUAUGUGUAAAUAAUCAAAUAUCACAUAUGAUAAAAAAUUAUUAUGAUAAAUUAAAAAAACAGUAUGACCAAUUAUAUACAGAAAUGGAAAUUAAUGGAGAAUCACCUCUUAACUUAUACAACACAAAUCGAAAUAAAUAUCCAUAUUCAGAAUAUGAUGAUUAUUAUUAUAAUAAUAGUAAUAACAUUGAAAAUGACUAUGUUAACAAUAACAACAUUAAUAAUAAUUAUAAUUAUAAUAAUAUAAAAAAUAAAAAUGAACACUUACGUAGAACUAAUAGUAAUGUUAGUUACUCAAAUACAAAUUAUACAUACGAUAUAUACGAUUUUGAUAAAUUUAAAGAUGAAUAUGAUGAUGACGAUAGUUAUGUAGUUAAUAAAACACAUAGCAGAAAACACUCCAUUAAACAUGAUGAAGAAUAUAAUCCUUAUAGUGUAGAAAGAAGUAAAAAAAAUAAAAAAAUAAAAAAAAGUAAAAUAUCGAGUCAUGCUAAUAAUAACACAAGUAAAUAUUUAAAAAUGAUAAAUGAAAAAUGUAAUAUUAGUAACAACAAUACUAUUACUAAUAAAGAUGCUAAUAUAGAUAAUAAUAAAUGCGUUAGUAAUAUUAAUAAUAAAGACAUUAAUAC